rnacentral:rRNA from 1 species
UACGGGAGGCAGCAGUGGGGAAUAUUGCACAAUGGGCGCAAGCCUGAUGCAGCCAUGCCGCGUGUAUGAAGAAGGCCUUCGGGUUGUAAAGUACUUUCAGUCGUGAGGAAGGUGUUAAGGUUAAUAACCUUAGCAAUUGACGUUAGCGACAGAAGAAGCACCGGCUAACCCUCCGUGCCAGCAGCCGCGGUAAUACGGAGGGUGCGAGCGUUAAUCGGAAUUACUGGGCGUAAAGGGCACGCAGGCGGUUAAUUAAGUUGGAUGUGAAAUCCCCGGGCUUAACCUGGGAAUGGCAUUCAAGACUGGUUAGCUAGAGUCUUGUAGAGGGGGUAGAAUUCCAUGUGUAGCGGUGAAAUGCGUAGAGAUGUGGAGGAAUACCGGUGGCGAAGGCGGCCCCUGGACAAAGACUGACGCUCAUGUGCGAAAGCGUGGGGAGCAAACAGGGAUUAGAUACC